rnacentral:rRNA from 1 species
GACGAACGCUGGCGGCGUGCCUAAUACAUGCAAGUAGAACGCUGAAGGAGGAGCUUGCUCUUCUGGAUGAGUUGCGAACGGGUGAGUAACGCGUAGGUAACCUGCCUGGUAGCGGGGGAUGACUAUUGGAAACGAUAGCUAAUACCGCAUAACAGUAGAUGUUGCAUGACAUUUACUUAAAAGGUGCAAUUGCAUCACUACCAGAUGGACCUGCGUUGUAUUAGCUAGUUGGUGGGGUAACGGCUCACCAAGGCGACGAUACAUAGCCGACCUGAGAGGGUGAUCGGCCACACUGGGACUGAGACACGGCCCAGACUCCUACGGGAGGCAGCAGUAGGGAAUCUUCGGCAAUGGACGGAAGUCUGACCGAGCAACGCCGCGUGAGUGAAGAAGGUUUUCGGAUCGUAAAGCUCUGUUGUAAGAGAAGAACGAGUGUGAGAGUGGAAAGUUCACACUGUGACGGUAGCUUACCAGAAAGGGACGGCUAACUACGUG